rnacentral:rRNA from 1 species
AAAGGAUGUGCGUCCGCCCAGACAACCAGGAUGUUGGCUUAGAAGCAGCCAUCCAUUCAAAGAGUGCGUAACAGCUCACUGGUCGAGUGGACAUGCGCCGACAAUACACGGGGCUAAGCUGGACACCGAAGCGGCGGGAUUUUGAUUUACAGAAUCGGUAGGGGAGCUUCCCAUGGGCGGAGAAGCCGGAGGGCGACCGACGGUGGAGCGCAUGGGAGUGAGAAUGCUGGCAUGAGUAGCGAGAGACGAGAGAGUAACUCGUCCGCCGUGAACCCGAGGUUUCCUGGGCAAGGCUAAUCCUCCCAGGGUCAGUCGGGGGCUAAGGCGAGGCCGGUAGGCGUAGCCGACGCGCAGCAGGCAGACAUUCCUGCACCGCGCACGCGGCGCUACGACCGACGGGGCGACGGAUGGGGGUGGCUCGGCGGGGUUCUGGACGUCCCCGUGAUGGAGCGCGGCCCGCGGACCAGGGAAAUCCGGUCCGCAUUGAGGGCGAGGCUCCGGACGAAGCACUUAAGCGAAGCGAGUGAGCCCGAGGUCCCUAGAAAAACCCCUAGGCAGGCGCGUGCGCGCCCGUACCGCAAACCGACACAGGUGGGUGGGUAGAACAUACCGAGGCGAUCGGGUCAACCAUGGUCAAGGAACUCGGCACAAUGGCCCCGUAACUUCGGGAGAAGGGGUGCCCGCGCGUACGUGAACGGACUUGCUCCGGGAGCGGAGGCGGGCCGCAGUGGAGAGGCCCAAGCGACUGUUUACCAAAAACACAGGACUCUGCAGAAGCCGCAAGGCGACGUAUAGGGUCUGACGCCUGCCCGGUGCCGGAAGGUCACGCGGAGGAGUUAGCCGAUUCGGCGAAGCCCCGAAGCCAAGCCCCGGUAAACGGCGGCCGUAACUAUAACGGUCCUAAGGUAGCGAAAUUCCUUGUCGGGUAAGUUCCGACCUGCACGAAAGGCGCAACGACUUGGGCGCUGUCUCGACCAUGGACCCGGUGAAAUUGCACUGGUCGUGAAGAUGCGACUUACCCGCGGAAGGACGGAAAGACCCCGUGAACCUUCACUGCAGCUUGGCAUUGGCCGCUGGUCCCGCGUGUAGAGGAUAGGCAGGAGGCAUCGAUCCGGAGGCGCCAGCCCCCGGGGAGCCGCCCUUGGAAUACUGCCCUCGCGCGACCGGCGUCCUAACCCGAGGCCGUCAACCGGCUCGGGGACCGUGCCAGGCGGGCAGUUUGACUGGGGCGGUCGCCUCCUAAAGGGUAACGGAGGCGCGCGAAGGUCCGCUCGGGACGGUCGGCAACCGUCCUUUUGAAUGCAAGAGUACAAGCGGGCUUGACUGCGAGGCCCACAAGCCGAGCAGGUGCGAAAGCAGGCUCUAGUGAUCCGGCGGCCCCGAGUGGGUGGGCCGUCGCUCAACGGAUAAAAGGUACUCCGGGGAUAACAGGCUGAUCUUGCCCAAGAGUCCACAUCGACGGCAAGGUUUGGCACCUCGAUGUCGGCUCAUCGCAUCCUGGGGCUGGAGCAGGUCCCAAGGGUACGGCUGUUCGCCGUUUAAAGCGGUACGCGAGCUGGGUUCAGAACGUCGUGAGACAGUUCGGUCCCUAUC